rnacentral:rRNA from 1 species
AGAGUUUGAUCAUGGCUCAGAUUGAACGCUGGCGGCAGGCCUAACACAUGCAAGUCGAACGGUAACAGGAAACAGCUUGCUGUUUCGCUGACGAGUGGCGGACGGGUGAGUAAUGUCUGGGAAACUGCCUGAUGGAGGGGGAUAACUACUGGAAACGGUAGCUAAUACCGCAUAACGUCGCAAGACCAAAGAGGGGGACCCUCGGGCCUCUUGCCAUCGGAUGUGCCCAGAUGGGAUUAGCUUGUUGGUGGGGUAACGGCUCACCAAGGCGACGAUCCCUAGCUGGUCUGAGAGGAUGACCAGCCACACUGGAACUGAGACACGGUCCAGACUCCUACGGGAGGCAGCAGUGGGGAAUAUUGCACAAUGGGCGCAAGCCUGAUGCAGCCAUGCCGCGUGUAUGAAGAAGGCCUUCGGGUUGUAAAGUACUUUCAGCGGGGAGGAAGGGAGUAAAGUUAAUACCUUUGCUCAUUGACGUUACCCGCAAAAGAAGCACCGGCUAACUCCGUGCCAGCAGCCGCGGUAAUACGGAGGGUGCAAGCGUUAAUCGGAAUUACUGGGCGUAAAGCGCACGCAGGCGGUUUGUUAAGUCAGAUGUGAAAUCCCCGGGCUCAACCUGGGAACUGCAUCUGAUACUGGCAAGCUUGAGUCUCGUAGAGGGGGGUAGAAUUCCAGGUGUAGCGGUGAAAUGCGUAGAGAUCUGGAGGAAUACCGGUGGCGAAGGCGGCCCCCUGGACGAAGACUGACGCUCAGGUGCGAAAGCGUGGGGAGCAAACAGGAUUAGAUACCCUGUAGUCCACGCCGUAAACGAUGUCGACUUGGAGGUUGUGCCCUUGAGGCGUGGCUUCCGGAGCUAACGCGUUAAGUCGACCGCCUGGGGAGUACGGCCGCAAGGUUAAGACUCAAAUGAAUUGACGGGGGCCCGCACAAGCGGUGGAGCAUGUGGUUUAAUUCGAUGCAACGCGAAGAACCUUACCUGGUCUUGACAUCCACGGAAGUUUUCAGAGAUGAGAAUGUGCCUUCGGGAACCGUGAGACAGGUGCUGCAUGGCUGUCGUCAGCUCGUGUUGUGAAAUGUUGGGUUAAGUCCCGCAACGAGCGCAACCCUUAUCCUUUGUUGCCAGCGGUCCGGCCGGGAACUCAAAGGAGACUGCCAGUGAUAAACUGGAGGAAGGUGGGGAUGACGUCAAGUCAUCAUGGCCCUUACGACCAGGGCUACACACGUGCUACAAUGGCGCAUACAAAGAGAAGCGACCUCGCGAGAGCAAGCGGACCUCAUAAAGUGCGUCGUAGUCCGGAUUGGAGUCUGCAACUCGACUCCAUGAAGCCGGAAUCGCUAGUAAUCGUGGAUCAGAAUGCCACGGUGAAUACGUUCCCGGGCCUUGUACACACCGCCCGUCACACCAUGGGAGUGGGUUGCAAAAGAAGUAGGUAGCUUAACCUUCGGGAGGGCGCUUACCACUUUGUGAUUCAUGACUGGGGUGAAGUCGUAACAAGGUA